rnacentral:rRNA from 1 species
CGUGUAGCCGGGUGUGCAAGUCAGAUGUGAAAUCUGGAGGCUCAACCUCCAAACUGCAUUUGAAACUGCGCAUCUUGAGUAUCGGAGAGGUAAUCGGAAUUCCUUGUGUAGCGGUGAAAUGCGUAGAUAUAAGGAAGAACACCAGUGGCGAAGGCGGAUUACUGGACGACAACUGACGGUGAGGCGCGAAAGCGUGGGGAGCAAACA